rnacentral:lncRNA from 1 species
CCCACUUAAAAUAAUUUCAUCCUCGAAAUUUAACUUACUUUUUUAAGGAGUUCGGGAUACUUGGCUAAAACGUCUUCUUCCCUUUCCCAAUUGGCGUCACUCUCACUAUGUCUACUCCAUUGGACUUUGACUAAUGAAAUUUUUCGGUUUCUCAGAACAUGGUCUUUUUUCUCUAGAAUCACUAGAGGAACUUCUUCGUACGUCAUAUCACUCUGAACAUUUAAUGACCGAACAUUCACCACAUGGAUAGGAUCUGAAAUGUACUUUCUCAACAUAGAAAUGUGAAAUAUGUUGUGCACGACUGAUAGUUAGGGGGCAAUGCUAAACGAUCUGCCACAUUCCCAAUUUUUCAGGAAUCUCAAAUGGACCAAUAAAUCUUGGACUCAAUUUCCUUUUCUUCCCAAAUCGUAAUAUUCCUUUCGUCGGUGCCACUUUGAGAAAUAUUUUUUCUCCAACCUCAAAAGUUAAUUCUUUUCUCCUUUUGUCAGCAUAGCUCUUUUGACGAUCUUGGGCGGUCUUAAUUCUUGAUCUAAUUUUAUAUAUAGCCUCCAUAGUCUUCUUAAUCAAUUCUGGACCUAAAACUUUCCUUUCACCAACUUCGUCUCAGUAUAAUGGCGAACGACAUCGACAACCAUACAAAGCCUCAUAUGGUGCCAUGCCAAUAAUAGCUUGGAAGCUAUUGUUGUAUGCAAAUUCAACUAACAACAAAUGGUCUUCCCACUUACCACCCAAAUCUAGGACACAAGCUCUCAACAUCUUUUCAAGCAUUUGGAUAGUACGUUCAGAUUUUUCGUCAAUCUGAGGAUGGUAUGCAGUACUAAACGUUAACUUGGUACCCGUAGCUUUCUGAAGGCUUAUUAAAAACUUCGAAGUAAACCAUGGGUCCGAUAUAAUAGAAACUGGAACACUAUGAAGUCACAUAAUCUCUCUGAUAUAAAUCUAUGCGAACUGUUCUAAGCUAUAGGUUGUUCGAACUGGCAAGAAAUGAGCAGAUUUUGUAAGUCAUCCAUAAUCACCCAGAUCACAUCAUGACCUCUCACUGAUCUAGGAAAACCAACGACAAAAUCCAUUGCAAUCUUUUCCCACUUCCAUUCGGGUAUAUCCAUAGGAUUCAAUGGCCCUAACAGCCUCUGAUGUUCAGCUUUUACUUGUUAACAAACCAUACAUUUGGACACAAAAAAAGCUAUAUUCCCCUUCAUAUUUUUCUACCAAAAUCUAUCAUGGAAAUCUUUAUUCAUUUUAGUUCCACCUGGGUGUACGACAUAAGGAGUAGAAUGAGCUUCAGUCGUGAUCUCAUUCCUCAAUACUUUAUCCUUUGGCACGCACAAUCGACCUUAAAACAUCAAGGCUUUAUCUUCAGCUAUUUCAAAUCAUUUCCUCUUUUCAGUUCCCACAUCAACCCUGAUCUUUUCCAAAAAGGGAUCAUCUUUCUCAGCAGCUAUUAUUUUGUCCCUGAGUGUCGGCUUUACAGUAAAACUUGCUAACAUCGUCGAUGUCCUUACUGAUGAUGUUAAUACUUCAAUUCUCAAGUUAUCAAAAUCUCUGAUUAUGUAAUCCUACCUCGUACAAAGUACUGACAACUGUCCCAUGUUCUUUAUACUCAAUGCAUCAGCGACUACAUUGGCCUUACCCAGAUGGUACAAGAUAGUGCAGUCGUAAUCUUUCACCAAUUCUAACCAUCGUCGCUGUCUCAUAUUUAACUCUUUCUGGGUGAAGAAGUAUUUGAGACUUUUGUGAUCGGUAUAAAUCUCACAUUUUCUCCCGUAUAGGUAGUGGCACCAAAUCUUCAAGGCGUACACUAUCGCUGCUAGUUCGAGAUCAUGUGUAGGGUAAUUCUAUUCAUAUUGCUUCAAUUGCCUCGAAGCCUAAGCAAAGACCUUCCCAUGUUGCAUCAAAAAAAUCCUAAACCAAGCUUGGAUGCAUCAAUAUAAAUCAAAAAACCUUCUGAACCGUCUGGAAUAGUCAAUACUGGUACAGAUACGAGUUUGUCCUUUAACUCUUGGAAACUCUGCUCGUAUUUCUCUGACCAUACGAACUUAGUACCCUUCUGAGUCAAUUAUGUCAUAGGACUCGCUAUCUUGGAAAAUCCUUCUAUAAAUCUUCGAUAAUAACCGGCUAAACCCAGAAAACUCCACACUUCUCCAACAUUUGUAGGUUUCGGCCAAUUCGUCACAGUCUUAACUUUGAACUGAUCCAAUUCAAUUCCUCAUUCUAAAACAGUAUGGCCUAGAAAUCCAACUCGAUCUAGCCAAAAUUCACAUUUCUUGAAUUUGGCAUAUAACUUUUCCUCACGCAGUGUUUCUAAAACUAUCCUCAAAUGUUCUUCAUGUUGAUGAGAAUCUCUCAAGUAUAUCAAUAUGACAUCAAUAAAUACGAUGACAAACAUGUCCAAAUACCAAUAAAAUACUCUAUUCAUUAAGUCCAUAAACACCGCAGGGGCAUUCGUCAAGUAAAGGGCAUCACUGUAAACUCAUAAUGCCCAUAUCGGGUCCUAAAUGCCGUCUUUGGUAUGUCAGUCAACUUGAUCUUCAAUUGAUGAUAGCCUGACCUUAGAUCAAUUUUUGAGAACACGGAUGCAUCCUUCAACUGAUCAAAUAGAUCCUUAAUCCUAGGAAGGGGACACUUAUUCUUAAUCGUCAACUUAUUUAGUUCACAGUAGUCGAUGCACAUCCUCAUAGUACCAUCUUUCUUCUUUACAAAGAGUACCGAAGCUCUCCAUGAAGAUACACUUGGUCUAAUUAAUGAACCCUUUGUCUAGAAGUUCUUCAAGCUGCAUCUUCAACUCUUGUAAUUCCUUUGGUACCAUUCGGUAUGGAGCUUUGGACACAGGGAUAGCUCUAGGUAUCAGAUCUAUCAUGAACUCCACUUGUCUAUCGGGCGGGGUACUUGAUUUUCAGGAAACAUGUCAACAUACUCUCGUACAAUUGGGACAUUGCCUAAUACUUUCUCUUGAGUGGAUGUGCUAGUAAGAUGGACAAGAUAGCCUUUUUCAACAUGCUCUCUGCUUUUAAAGCUGAGACAACUCGAGAAAGUGCCUUAAUGCUCGAUCCAUAAAAUCUGAACUCUUAUUCUCCUGAUAUUUGAAAAAUUACCUUUUUCUCAAAACAUACUAUCGUGGCUCGAUUCUCACCCAACUAGUCCAUACCUAAAAUAAUAUCAAAAUCUUUCAUCUCUAUACUAUACAAGUCAGCCUUUAAAGUCAGUCCAUCAAAAUCUAUCUAUACCCCUUUUGCUACCCUAUCCGUAUUAAUAGUUCCAUCUGAUGGCAUACUCACCUCUAAUACACUAUCAUUCUUUUGACAUGAAGCAUUAAUCUUAGCUAGACAUGCAUUAGAUAUGAAUGAAUGUAUCGUACCGAAAUCAAUCAGGACAUAUACAGGAAUAUUAGAGACAGAUAAAAUACCUGAAAUCACGUCUAGAUUUUUGGCAGCCUCGUCGUGAGUCAAAGCAAACACCCUUGCUUUUCCCUUUUUCUCUCGUUCGGGUUUCUUAAUUGAUGGGCCUGAAGAAGCCACAUGGUCGGGUUGACCACACUUAUAGCAGACAUACUUUCCAUACAGACAUUCUCCUUUGUGAAACUUGUUGCAUUUAGGAUAUUGGGAUACAGGAUUGCUUGAUUGACCCACAUACAUCUGCUUCUUAAACUGUCCCGUACUCUUAUUCUUGUCCUGCCACUUCCUUUUCCCAAAGUCUUUACGUUGUCCCUGAUUUACCAAUUUUAUCCCCGAGUAGGUCACUAUUUGAGCUUUUUUAUCAUUGCUUGAAAAGUGGUGAGAUAUGUGAACUCACAAUCUACCUGAUCUCUGGGUGCAGGCCCCUCUCGUAACGUUUUGCCUUCAUGAACUCGGUACUUACAAGAUGUGGGGCAUAUCGGGACAAUUCAUCGAAUUUGCUCUCAUACUCAAAAAGUUCCAUAUCUCUCUGUACCAGUCUUAAGAAUUCCGUCUCCUUGUGGUCUCGCAUAGCUUGUGGGAAAAACUUUUCUAUUAGCUCCAUCAUAAACUGAUCCCACGUUAAGUUUCGUUGUUCCUUCUCAGUGCAAGUGCGUGAUGUGGAUUCCUACCAAUGGCCUACUCACCCGAUUAGCACAAACUCUGCACAUAAUACUUUUUGAUUUUCUGGGCAAGAUAUGUGCUGAAAAAACUUCUCGAUAAUACGCAAUCACUCAUCAACUGCUAGAGGAUCCUUUCCACCAUCAAAGGUAGGUGGUCGGUAUCUAUGAAAUUGUUCUACCUUUAGAACAGGCAGUGCAAUCGUGUAUGUUGGUGGCACCAGCGAAGCUAAUGGAACUAGUGAAGCUUGAGGUGUAACCUGAGCAGCCAAGGCCUGUCUCAACUCAUCAAUUUCCCGCCUUAACUCCCUAAUUGUCCUCGCUUGUGCCAUAUUCCUAAAAUAAUUGCAAUCUCAUUUAAAGGAGCCAAGGAUAUUUGUGCAAUAUAGGAAAAAGAUUCAUAACUCAAUAUCCUUUAUUAUUGUCACAUACAAAUCCUUCAGGAGACAAAAAAAAUAGUAAAAGAGCGUUUGGCGCUAUUCCAUAGCAUCAUAAAAGAAAUCCUACUAAACACCAACAAUAAUUAAACCUGAUAAAACUACUAAAAUUCACUUAUUCAUUAUUGCUAUCAUAAUCAUUAAUCCAGCCUCCAUGAAUCCUAGGUCUCUUAGAAAACUAAACCUCAUCAUCCGAAAUAGGUGGAGGUGCAUUUCACGAAUGUGCAUUUCGGUAGGUACACUAUCGUCUUCGGGGAUCUCAAGUCGGGCCAGCUCCCACCGCUCAAUUAGCUCUGCGCAGAAAGCCUCAUAAUAAAUCUCUCGAGGUAAGGUAGGCACACUAAUCUCCCGUAAAUAAUUAUAAAUCGAUUCGGCUACCUCUAGCCACUCUUCUGGCAAUAUCUCAAUAAGGAGGCAGGUGGCUCGAUGACAAGUGACCACAUAGCCUAGUUGUCUCACUUCCCUCCAUCUUACUAACAUCUCCCAAAUGUGUUGGCCAAUGUUGUGCAUUGGAUUCCACCGAUACUCUACAUAUUGCCUCAAGAUCUCAUAUCGAUGAGGCAUCGAUGAACUCGUCUUCCAACAAGUUUUCUUAAUUCGUACUAUUUGAGUCAUACCAAUUAUUCAAAAUGCAAUAAGUGGGUGUCUAAUAAGUUUUAGUUAAUUCUCAAGGACUAAAUUUAAUCUCCUCACACUCUAAAAAAAUACUUGGUACAUUACUAAUUAUCUACAAAGGUAUUCAAACUAUAUGCUGAAAUUCAUACAUACAUUUCAAAUUUUGCAUCUCAAAUAAAAUUUCUCAUAAUCAUCGCAUAGAUACAAUCACAUUUGUGAAACUUUCUUUACCUCGAAAUUUUCAUGGCGCAGCAUGGCAGGCACAGUACUCAGGAUCCUCAUUAGAAAAAAAAAUCGUUCAACUUAUAUGUGACACAACACUUCAAAGAUUUACUUUCAAUGUGAGUCUACAAAAAAUGAACCUGGCUCUGAUACCAAGUUGUAACGCCCCGGAUUCUCGAAACCCAAAGCUUUAAAAAUAAUCGAUCUUUCUUUGAUUCGACCCCUUUGAUGUUAACCAAAGUAAUUUGUAAAUUAGAAAGUUUUUGGGUUUUGAAAAUAUAUAAAAAUAUAAUGGGAAGUAGUUAUUCAUAUAAACU